UCAGAUCUUCCCUUGGGACCACUCCAGAUACAAAAUGUGUAGAUGUGUGUGUGAACAGGCAGAGAUGGGGAGGGGAAUCAGAAGUAAGGUUUUGCAGAGAUUGUUCCAGGACGAUAGUAAAUCAUACACUCACUCCUGCACUGCACAGAAUGUGCUAAAGGAGAGCAAGAAAAAUGAAGGAAUACACAAUUCUGCCCACUUCAGCAGUUAGGCUUUUGUUAGAAUACUCUUAAACAAUUACAAAGCUGCCAGGACUGUGUUUAAUUAAAUAUGUAAGUAUCAGUACAAAAAAUGCAAGCAACACUUACAUCAUGCCUACAAGGUCUUAUUGUUCUGUUUAUUUUUUACAGAUGGAUAUUUUUUCAGGAACAAACUUGCGAAAUGUUGAGAGAGAGAGAAGAAUGUAGAGGGAAGUAGUAAAAAGAAAUAUGGAUCCUACAGGAAAAGUGGCAGUGCUUAUAUUUCAGAGAGGCAAACAAAGUACAGUGCAUAUGUGACAAGGAAGUAUGACUUGAGUUCCCUACUUAAGGCUUCAUUGAAAUUGCCCAGUACUUGAGAGAAAACAGAUGACAGAGUAAUUAGAGAUGGUGCAUACAAUCUAUCAGUCACAGUCUUGAACUUCCUGUAGCUGAUUGGAAUGACCAGAUUAUUUUUUACGAGUAGACCAUAUAUUUGGGGGGGAAUGGGGAAAGGAGGAACAUAGCUGAGCACAAAUAAUACCUCUUUAUUUGCCUAGAAUCAUAGAAUGGUUUGGGUUGGAAGGGACCUCAGAGAAUAUCUAGUCUCUCCCUGCCGUAAGCAGGAAUGCUACCCACUAGAUCAGAUUGGUGACUCAAUGAAGCCUGAAUCUUUAACUCCCAAAAAAACUUGUCUGUAGAUGUUCAGGUGAGGGGAGGCACAGCCAUCCAGCCCCUAUGGCUCUGCUGUUCUUUCUGGGACAGUCUUUGCACACCCAGGAAAGUAUGGGACUGCUUUUGCUUCCAGUUGAAGAGGGGUUCAACUGUCUACAAUUUCCUGCGUACACUAAAGCUUUGCCUACAGACCAGGCAGGUUCCAGAAGGGCUGUGUCCUCACAGGGUCUUACAGGCUGCUGACUUUUUCCUAGUGGAAAAGCUGGUACAAGAUUUGAUCCCAGGCUUCUUUUUCUUGGCAUUAAUGAGAUUAGUAAAAAAUUUGCAUAUAAUCCCUAUUUUAAACUGCAACUAGGGUGGGGUAGGAGAAUUCUGGGACAAAGUGGUACAGUAUAUAGUUUAUAUCAUCUUGGCUAAAUUAUGUCAGAAAUACAGGUGCAGUCACCCUUUUUCUGAACAUCAACAUUUUCGGAAAAGUUAGUGUGCUAGAUGAGGCAGCCAAGGCAUGCUUCCUUCCCAGCUACCAAUAGUGCAAAGUAUUUUGAUUCCACUAGGCAAAACGAUUUUUAAUUGCACUCAAAUCCAUCAGAUACUUUCUGGAAAUCAUAACUGCCAUUGUUGUGGGGGUUUUCUUUUGCUCGAGAAGGGGGAUCACUUCUGCCCUGCGACUCACUACUCACAGCCUUGAGAGAUGUACCUGCAGGUGCCACGAGUGUGUGAUGACUCCCAGGCACAGGACUUAGGUUCAGUAAGAGAGGUGUUUUGGUCUAAGUGUUGGAGUCCUGGCUUGAGUGUUAUUUCAAAGAAAGAUAAUCACCACAAACUCAUAUGGUCUGUAUGUGAGGUUCUCCCAUAAUUUUACGUGAACUUCAUUUGUCCCCAUUUAAGAGUGUGAACCAAGAAAGAAAAGGGGUAUUCUUACACCAGAGGAAAAUGUCUGCAUUGUUACUUGGGCAUGAGCCUUUCUCAGUCUCCACGAGGGGCAAAUAAAGAGAGGUUAAGAUGAAAUAACAGUUGGAUUUGUCUUUCAGUCCCUGAAAGCUGUAGCUAUAGUUUUCAGAGAGGCUAAAGGAAUUAAGUGUAUAUUUCUUUUUCAAGUAAAAAGUCCAAAUCUCAGACAUAAGCCUAGAAAUUAAAUGUUUUGCAUGCCAUAUUUUAGCCUCAGAACCAAUCAUGUUUUGAGUUUAUCCAUGUUCCUUUAUUACCUGAACAAUCCCGUAGCAUUUAUUAUGCUAGUAGCAAAAUCUUAUGUUAAUUUACAAAGAGAAAAAAUUGGGGACAUCGUAAGCUCCCACAUAGAAACGCUGAUGAGGAAACAACUUAGUGUUGGGUGCACUUUCUGUGUUUUCCUCAGAAUGUCUCAGGUGGAAGAUGCAGAAUGAAAAUGCUCUGGUGAUAAACACUUGUGAAUGGUGAGGAAGGACACUAUAAUUUCAGGUGUAAAUCCGAUAUCUUACCCUGCGGAUAGAGGGAGAGGAUUGGUUCCCUUCACGCUCUUCUCAUACCUCCAACCACCCCCCAUCUUCAGGAGCUAUAUCCGAACCCUCCAUCUAAACCAAAAAGCUUUAUCUGUCCCUUAGUGAAACAUCUUUUAUUUGCCAACUUGUUUUUCCCACAGACUCCCGCUCCCUUUUGUGUUUGCGCUAAUGUUCGAAUGUCUACACCGCGUAGCCGAUGAUUAUUUGUGAGACAGAGUGAGUUAAUGCAGAUUUGCAAGCUGUUCCCAUUUGUUAAAUGUCAGAAAAACACAUGCAAGUCACUGGCUUUAGCACUUAGCUGCCAGCUGGCUCUUCUGAAAGGAGGGGACAAAUGACAGUCUAUCAAACAGCAUGCUUUCAAAGAAAGAGGAGACCUGUUCCAGAACUGCAGCUUCAGAGACUCUUUUAACAACAUAAGCAAAACUGGGAGCCAACCUCAUUUUUUCCCCCUGGCUGUAAUGAACACAUAGCUUAGCAACAGCAUUCCCCCACCCUCAGUAAAAGCGAACUGGAAUUACAAAACUUAUGAGGAAAAAAAGUGUCAUUUUCCCCCUCUCUCUCUCUUUUACUUUGAAUUUUAUUUAUUUUUAUUGAUUUCUUUCUUUUUGGCUCAAAAGUAAGACCAAAAAUGCCAAAAGGGAAAGGAGUGGGGUACUGAGAUCAGUCACAAAUCUCAGAAGAUUGCAGGAAACUGUGCCAAAUGGAAGUGUUUAUCCAUGGGUAAGUGCCCAGUGUAGAUUAACAUAUUUUAAUUAUGGUCUCUGGGUUUGCUGCACUCCCUGAAGAAUACAUGGUUUAGGCCUCGCUGGUGAGCCAAAGUUGUCAGGGGGAGGGAUUAUUUUUGGUCGUGCAUGCUGAUGGGGUGCUGUGUCCUCGCUGUGCCCGGAGUCCCGAGACAUGCCUUUCUCCCGGAGCAGAUGCUGCAGGAUGGCGGCAGCGCCGGUUUCUUUGUGCCACCCGACAUGCUCCGACCCUGACCCGGAGGCCAGCGCUGCUCCGCUGUGGCUGCCAGCGUGGGGGCCGGGGCACAGCUCUGCUUCCCGGGGUGAUGUCCGCCGGGACCUCCGACAUCACCCGCUCAUUAGGAUGUCUCUGAACAGCUGUCAUGGGGUGCUGACUUUUUGUCACGGUUGACAGCGGUGAGAUUAAAGCAGGUAGCCAGAGGCUGAAAAACUCCUUGUUUUGUUACGAAGCCCUGAGUCAUCUAACGCCAUUAUAAAUAUUAGGUGUCAGAUUUGGAUUCACAGAGUCACUCGUAGCCUUGGGUAGAUCCCAUUACACAAAUAGUCCAAUUUAUUACAGCAGGACUAUUUGUAUACAAGAUUGCCAUCAUUGUCAAGAUAUCAAAAUCUGGCCUGGUAUGUUUAAUGUUUCAUAAUUAACAAGCUGCAUCAUGCUAGUGAACGUCUUCCACUUAUAGAAUAAGAUUUUGACAUUUUCUAUGGUUUAAACUCAGUGCCAGUUAGGACAGGGCUUUGGGAAGAAAGAGUGUGGUGCCAGGCAAGGUCCAUCUUUUCUUCUCUGUUCUUAUUUUAAGCCAAACAUCCAAUUUCCUUCCUAUAGCAGAAAGAGAGAGACAGACCCAUGAGGAAGAUAAUUCAUGUUCCAUAGCUUGCAGAAGAAGGAGUCUCUUUGCUUACCUCUGUCACUGGAAGGAGCCCAGGUUCAGUGCUACCUGAUGGAAUGGGAAAAACUAGGUGAGAUGAAACCUUUUCCAAUUGCAAACAGUGCCUGCAAAGCCCAUUACUCUGUUGCUCAUAAAUUCUUUUCAGGAACACUCUCAAACAAUUAAUUUGGUGCCAAAGAUGCUCUCAAAUUGUCAUCUAAACCACAUGACCUUUCAGUUUUUUAAUCCAUGGGAAUAAUAAAUCUCUUGAUCUCUAUGCUUUUACCCUGAAAACCUGCCCUGGGCACCCCUGAAUUUGAACAGUGGGUUGGCUAACUCCUGACUAAAUCCCAGUGAGAUCCAGGAAUUAGGCAAAGUUGAGCCUCUGAAUCUGAUAGGUAUAACUUGAACCAUCCCUGAUGUCUUCAAGUUCAGCACAAGGCCUUACUUUACUCAAGGCCCCUUUCAUAGAUAAAAAAGGUCUAGCUAUUUAAACGAAAAAGUGAGAUAUCUCAGGUUCCAGGCUGUCCUCAUUCAGAUGAAUAUGAAAUAAGAGACUUCAAUUGCUCUAAACUUCUCAUUAUAGUCUCAAACUCUAGGCUUUGAGACUGUCUGGGGAAAAGGGCUAUAAAAGUUAUUGUUCUGCAGCUGGAGGAAUCUAACCCCAUUUUGAAUUUUGAAUGCUCAGGGUCUUCAGAGCUAUGUCCAUAGAGGUAUUCAGAGAUAUUUAGGCACCCAACUGCUCUUUGUCUCAGUGCCUUCAUCAAGAGAGAUCACAGUCUGCUUGGAUGUAAAGCGUAACAGAAAAUGAAAGCACCAAGCAAUAUCAGCCUGUGGAGAGAGUGAGAAGACAGUUGUUAAUCUGAAAAUUUCCUUCACAUUAGAUUCUUAUUAUCUUUCCUUUUGCACCAUAAACUGUUCCCUGCAAUUGUGCUUGGGAUCAUUCAACUGAAAAGAAAAGCUCCCCUGUCCAUCUGCCUGGCAGGACUGUCCAAAGGUACCUCCUUUUCUCCUUCCUUUCCUCAGAUCUGGCUGGUAAAGCUUAUCAAACAGAGCAUUAUGAUACAGUAGCCUCUCCAAACCUCCAAAGUCUGACUCUGAAUACUGAGAUCCCUGAAUUUGUUGCAUAUGGCACACCUGCAUUUUUCGUGGAUUGAAAAUAUUGCUAGGGAAAGACCAAAUUUGGCAGCCUGGGAGAGCUGAGACUGCUACAGAUCCACACCAGAGGUCCCACGAGUCCGGAGACAGAGCAUGUAUUCCCUGCAGAUGCACAGGCACACAAACAUAUGUAUUUAUACAGAGAUGGAUCCAGAUCCAUACACCUCAAAGACACUGCACAUACACAGUCAGCACCCGCAGCCCUUCAUGUCCCCUCUCUGGCUGGUCAGGGUGAAAAAUGUGGAUCCACCAGUAGCUGGGCUCAGACACUUAGUCUGACCAGUAGCUACCUGGGAAUCCCAAUCUCCCUCAUGUUGCUGGCACCUGGUCCUGGGAGGACCUGAGGCUGCGGCCCCCCUCCAGGGUGGUACAGACACCUUGCACACACCAUCCCAAACACAAGAGCACUAGCCAGUCCUAUUUACACAGCUGACUGAUUUAUCCCCUUUUCCUUCAGUUUCUGCUUAUUUGGCUCUCCCAAACCACUUUGGCCCUCCCUUUCCCCCCUUUUUCAGUUUUCUUACUUCUUCCAAAUAUCACAUAAGUUCCAUCCUAUCCCAAAACACUCUUCUCGUGCACCUCAUAAUGUGCCCCUGGGUACUGACCUCUCUCUGUCCCUGAGGUGCUCCAGAGAGCAGCUCCUGUGUCUCACUAGGGUGGGAUGAUGCUCCUUAUGAGCACCCCUGGGACGAGGCAUGACAGGGGCUCAUUUCUUCCCUGAAAUUAUUUGGGUGCCCCUUCCUCACCAUUAUUAUGCUCUGGGCUUCUCUGUGUGUGUGUGGAGAUGAGCCUUUUAUUUCACUGCCUGACAAAUGCCUGCUUUCUGACAGGAUUUUCUUGUUGCCUGGGUAGAUCCUUCUUUGUCUCUGAGGUCUAUAAGCUCUGUCAUACUUUUCACAUGAAGAGCACUGGGGUGAGUAAGCCCUUUCCCUUCGUUUCCUUGAAGAAUGUCAGGCUCAGACUUAAGCAGCAAAUGGUGGUAACAGCAGCAUGUGGUUCAUGUAAGCAACUGGCAAGACAAGACCAGCCUACUAAGUGGAGUAGGGUGUAUCUGCGGAGAGUGUGGGGAUCUGGUCAUCAGCUCAUGGGCUUCUGACCAGGUGAAAGUCAGCAUCCCCACUGGGCAAAAGGGUUAUUAGUGCUAGAUUUUUCUUGAGGCAUCACUGUCAGUAAGUAAUGGCAGCAAAAUACUCAACAGUUAAGGGCAUCAGAUAUGCACAGACACUUCAUUUUUAAGUGCACGUGAAACACAGAUUUUCAAGGAUGCUUAGAUUAACGAUCUUCCUCAUGUUCAGGUGAAACUGUGCAUCGGUUUGCAUCUAUUGUCCCUUGUCCUAUUGCUGAGCACCAUGGAGCAGAGCCUGGUCCAUCCUCUGACACCUCCCUCCAGACACUGAAAGACAUUGAUGAGGUCCCCUCUCAUAAACUGGAAUUUUAGACCUGAGAGCACCAUUGUUCUUGCCAGAUUUGAAGUUCAUCUGCCGUGAUCACCGAGGCUACUUAGUGUCUCUGAAGACCCUCUCAAUCUUCCUGAAUCUUGACUUUCUACUGUGAGCAAGAGAACAGAGAUAAAUCCUUAUACAUCAGGACUGAGAAGACCUUAACCUUCUAUGGGGAAGCAAGAAAGUUCCCUCAUGAGAGAAAUGUCUUGAAGCUUCUUCUGAUGCCUCCUUGAUCCCUAUCAGGUGGCAUACUGGAUCAAAUUGACCACUGGCUUCAUGCAGUCCAGCACUGCCUGUAUCCCGUCUCUUCUGCAGACAAAUUCUGAUCUACAGAUUGGGUAUAUCACCUGGAAAAGUCCAAAUCCACCAUGCUCUUGGGCUUUUAUUGUCAGUUUCAUGUCUAUUUUUGUGAUUUGUUUCAAGGUCUUACCUUCUCAAACAGCAAGACAUCAUGAGACACAGCUUACCAUAACACAGCACCAAUGUUUGAAGAGUUCCCAGCUCAGUGUCACAAAACCCACUGGCUAAAAACAUGGCUCAGACCAUGUUCUCAGAAAGAACAUCUAAUGAAGUGAUGAGCAUAAGCAUCUGCUAUCUUCUUCUGCUGCAUUUUUGAAUCAUGGUGUAAUGAUUUUAUCCAACAUAUCUAGACAGUGUCAUAUUUCAUCAUCUAGGUGGUAUCAUAUUUAUCCAAGCAUUUCCAUUGGCAAUACAAAUAUUCUGUCUUAUCUCUGAACUUUGUUUUGCAUCUAAAAUGGGAUUAUUUUUUCUUGAGGUAAUGAUCUAGGAUUCUGAAAAUCAAGAUUGAACUCACUGUUUUACAACAUAUUUUCCAGGUGAAUUUUGUGGAACUCUUUAAAAAAUUAACUGGAGAGAGCACUUCCAGGUAGUUGAUACCCACAGCUGAUUUCUCUAUACCUCAGUUUCUCACUUAAAAAGUGUGAUAAUGUUAUUUUCUUUACCUGUUUGCAUUCCUAUUUAUAUCUUAGCAUUGCCUAUUAGACCUCAUCUGUGUUGAUCCUACUGUAAGUGAAGCUAGUAAUAAAAAUAUCUUCCACCCAAAAGAGAGAUUUUGGAAAUGAGCAGUGGCACUCAGAAACAAGGAUAUAAAUUUUCAUCAUGCUAACAAUUUAAUCACUAUAAAUAAAAGAUUAUCACCAUGUUCUCAA